UACGGGGGGGUGCGAGCGUUGUCCGGAAUCACUGGGCGUAAAGGGCGCGUAGGUGGUUUGAUAAGGGUGUGGUGAAAGUCCGGGGCUCAACCCCGGAUCUGCCGUGCCGACUGUCAAACUCGAGGACUGUAGAGGCAGACGGAAUUCCGGGUGUAGCGGUGGAAUGCGUAGAGAUCCGGAGGAAGACCGGUGGCGAAGGCGGUUCUCUGGGCCUUACCUGACGCUGAGGAGCGAAAGCGUGGGGAGCGAACAGG
rnacentral:rRNA from 1 species